AGAGUUUGAUCCUGGCUCAGGAUGAACGCUAGCUACAGGCUUAACACAUGCAAGUCGAGGGGCAGCAUGAACUUAGCUUGCUAAGUUUGAUGGCGACCGGCGCACGGGUGAGUAACGCGUAUCCAACCUUCCCCUUAGUAGGGCAUAGCCCGGCGAAAGUCGGAUUAAUACCCUAUGUUGUUCGAGGCAGACAUCUAAUUUGAACCAAAGGUUUACCGCUAAGGGAUGGGGAUGCGUCUGAUUAGGUAGUCGGCGGGGUAACGGCCCACCGAGCCUGCGAUCAGUAGGGGUUCUGAGAGGAAGGUCCCCCACAUUGGAACUGAGACACGGUCCAAACUCCUACGGGAGGCAGCAGUGAGGAAUAUUGGUCAAUGGGCGAGAGCCUGAACCAGCCAAGUAGCGUGCAGGACGACGGCCCUAUGGGUUGUAAACUGCUUUUAUAUGGGGAUAAAGUGCGGGACGCGUCCCGUUUUGUAGGUACCAUAUGAAUAAGGACCGGCUAAUUCCGUGCCAGCAGCCGCGGUAAUACGGAGGAUGCAAGCGUUAUCCGGAUUUAUUGGGUUUAAAGGGUGCGUAGGCGGUUUGCUAAGCGGGAGGUGAAAUGCCGGCGCUCAACGUCGGAAGUGCCUCCCGAACUGGUGGACUGGAAUGACUCUGCCGUGGGAGGAAUGUGUAGUGUAGCGGUGAAAUGCUUAGAGAUUACACAGAACACCGAUUGCGAAGGCAUCUCACGAAGGGUUGAUUGACGCUGAGGCACGAAAGCGUGGGGAUCAAACAGGAUUAGAUACCCUGGUAGUCCACGCAGUAAACGAUGAUGGCUAACCGCUGGGCUGUUCAGUUCAGUGGCCAAGCGAAAGCGAUAAGCCAUCCACCUGGGGAGUACGACCGCAAGGUUGAAACUCAAAGGAAUUGACGGGGGCCCGCACAAGCGGAGGAACAUGUGGUUUAAUUCGAUGAUACGCGAGGAACCUUACCCGGGCUCGAACGGCUGGUGAACGAUGCAGAGAUGCAAAGGUCCUUCGGGACGCCAGUCGAGGUGCUGCAUGGUUGUCGUCAGCUCGUGCCGUGAGGUGUCGGCUCAAGUGCCAUAACGAGCGCAACCCUUGCCGUCAGUUACCAUCAGGUGAAGCUGGGGACUCUGGCGGGACUGCCACCGCAAGGUGUGAGGAAGGGGGGGAUGACGUCAAAUCAGCACGGCCCUUACGUCCGGGGCGACACACGUGUUACAAUGGCGGCCACAGAGGGGCACUACCUGGCGACAGGAUGGGAAUCUCGAAAAGCCGUCUCAGUCCGGAUCGGAGUCUGCAACCCGACUCCGUGAAGCUGGAUUCGCUAGUAAUCGCGCAUCAGCCAUGGCGCGGUGAAUACGUUCCCGGGCCUUGUACACACCGCCCGUCAAGCCAUGAAAGUCUGGGGCGCCUGAAGUCCGUGACCGAGAGGAGCGGCCUAGGGCGAAACAGGUAAUUGGGGCUAAGUCGUAACAAGGUAACC
rnacentral:rRNA from 1 species